GACGUAGGGGGCUAGCGUUGCUCGGAAUCACUGGGCGUAAAGCGCACGUAGGCGGAUUGCUAAGUCAGGGGUGAAAUCCUGGAGCUCAACUCCAGAACUGCCUUUGAUACUGGCGAUCUCGAGUCCGGGAGAGGUGAGUGGAACUGCGAGUGUAGAGGUGAAAUUCGUAGAUAUUCGCAAGAACACCAGUGGCGAAGGCGGCUCACUGGCCCGGUACUGACGCUGAGGUGCGAAAGCGUGGGGAGCAAACAGG
rnacentral:rRNA from 1 species